AUUGAACGCUGGCGGCAGGCCUAACACAUGCCAGUCGAACGGUAGCACAGAGAGCUUGCUCUCGGGUGACGAGUGGCGGACGGGUGAGUAAUGUCUGGGAAACUGCCCGAUGGAGGGGGAUAACUACUGGAAACGGUAGCUAAUACCGCAUAAUGUCGCAAGACCAAAGAGGGGGACCUUCGGGCCUCUUGCCAUCGGAUGUGCCCAGAUGGGAUUAGCUUGUUGGUGAGGUAAUGGCUCACCAAGGCGACGAUCCCUAGCUGGUCUGAGAGGAUGACCAGCCACACUGGAACUGAGACACGGUCCAGACUCCUACGGGAGGCAGCAGUGGGGAAUAUUGCACAAUGGGCGCAAGCCUGAUGCAGCCAUGCCGCGUGUGUGAAGAAGGCCUUCGGGUUGUAAAGCACUUUCAGCGGGGAGGAAGGCAAUGCGGUUAAUAACCGUGUUGAUUGACGUUACCCGCAGAAGAAGCACCGGCUAACUCCGU
rnacentral:rRNA from 1 species